AACGAACGCUGGCGGCAGGCUUAACACAUGCAAGUCGAACGCCCCGCAAGGGGAGUGGCAGACGGGUGAGUAACGAGUGGGAACAUACCCUUUCCUGCGGAAUAGCUCUGGGAAACUGGAAUUAAUACCGCAUACGCCCUACGGGGGAAAGAUUUAUGGGGGAAGGAUUGGCCCGCGUUGGAUUAGCUAGUUGGUGGGGUAAAGGCCUAACAAGGCGACGAUCUAUAGCUGGUCUGAGAGGAUGAUCAGCCACAUUGGGACUGAGACACGGCCCAAACUCCUACGGGAGGCAGCAGUGGGGAAUAUUGGACCAUGGGCGCAAGCCUGAUCCAGCCAUGCCGCGUGAGUGAUGAAGGCCUUAGGGUUGUAAAGCUCUUUCACCGAUGAAGAUAAUGACGGUAGUCGGAGAAGAAGCCCCGGCUAACUUCGUGCCAGCCGCCGCCGUAACAC
rnacentral:rRNA from 1 species